rnacentral:rRNA from 1 species
UCGUCACACUAUCAUUAACUGAAUCCAUAGGUUAAUGAGGCGAACCGGGGGAACUGAAACAUCUAAGUACCCCGAGGAAAAGAAAUCAACCGAGAUUCCCCCAGUAGCGGCGAGCGAACGGGGAGGAGCCCAGAGCCUGAAUCAGCAUGUGUGUUAGUGGAAGCGUCUGGAAAGGCGCGCGAUACAGGGUGACAGCCCCGUACACAAAAGCGCAUGUGCUGUGAGCUCGAUGAGUAGGGCGGGACACGUGGUAUCCUGUCUGAAUAUGGGGGGACCAUCCUCCAAGGCUAAAUACUCCUGACUGACCGAUAGUGAACCAGUACCGUGAGGGAAAGGCGAAAAGAACCCCGGCGAGGGGAGUGAAAAAGAACCUGAAACCGUGUACGUACAAGCAGUGGGAGCACAGGUUUACCUGUGUGACUGCGUACCUUUUGUAUAAUGGGUCAGCGACUUAUAUUCUGUAGCAAGGUUAACCGAAUAGGGGAGCCGGAGGGAAACCGAGUCUUAAUUGGGCGUUAAGUUGCAGGGUAUAGACCCGAAACCCGGUGAUCUAGCCAUGGGCAGGUUGAAGGUUGGGUAACACUAACUGGAGGACCGAACCGACUAAUGUUGAAAAAUUAGCGGAUGACCUGUGGCUGGGGGUGAAAGGCCAAUCAAACCGGGAGAUAGCUGGUUCUCCCCGAAAGCUAUUUAGGUAGCGCCUCGUGAAUUCAUCUCCGGGGGUAGAGCACUGUUUCGGCUAGGGGGCCAUCCCGGCUUACCAACCCGAUGCAAACUGCGAAUACCGGAGAAUGUUAUCACGGGAGACACACGGCGGGUGCUAACGUCCGUCGUGAAGAGGGAAACAACCCAGACCGCCAGCUAAGGUCCCAAAGUCAUGGUUAAGUGGGAAACGAUGUGGGAAGGCCCAGACAGCCAGGAUGUUGGCUUAGAAGCAGCCAUCAUUUAAAGAAAGCGUAAUAGCUCACUGGUCGAGUCGGCCUGCGCGGAAGAUGUAACGGGGCUAAACCAUGCACCGAAGCUGCGGCAGCGAACGUAUCACUUAAAGCGAUUCAGCGGGUUACGAUUGACGGAGCGAAGCGACGUCAAAGCGUAUACAAAGUCGAGUCGGUUUAAGGAUACGUUCGUUGGGUAGGGGAGCGUUCUGUAAGCCUGUGAAGGUGGCC